rnacentral:rRNA from 1 species
CGUAGGGUGCGAGCGUUAAUCGGAAUUACUGGGCGUAAAGUGUGCGCAGGCGGCCGCGCAAGUCGAGUGUGAAAUCCCCGGGCUUAACUUGGGAAUUGCGCUCGAAACUACGUGGCUAGAGUGUGGCAGAGGGAGGUGGAAUUCCACGUGUAGCGGUGAAAUGCGUAGAGAUGUGGAGGAACACCGAUGGCGAAGGCAGCCUCCUGGGCCAACACUGACGCUCAUGCACGAAAGCGUGGGGAGCAAACAGGAUUAGAUACCCUGGUAGUCCACGCCCUAAACGAUGAUGACUAGUUGUUGGAGGAGUUAAAUCCUUUAGUAACGCAGCUAACGCGUGAAGUCAUCCGCCUGGGGAGUACGGUCGCAAGAUUA